CCCACCUUUGACAUGUACGGAAGUUGCCAGAGAUGGUUUCGUGCUCGAAAGAGAACCGUAACACAGGUGCUGCAUGGCUGUCGUCAGCUCGUGUCGUGAGAUGUUGGGUUAAGUCCCGCAACGAGCGCAACCCUUGUCAUUAGUUGCUACGAAAGGGCACUCUAAUGAGACUGCCGGUGACAAACCGGAGGAAGGUGGGGAUGACGUCAAGUCCUCAUGGCCCUUAUAGGUGGGGCUACACACGUCAUACAAUGGCUGGUACAGAGGGUUGCCAACCCGCGAGGGGGAGCUAAUCCCAUAAAACCAGUCGUAGUCCGGAUCGCAGUCUGCAACUCGACUGCGUGAAGUCGGAAUCGCUAGUAAUCNCGGAUCAGAAUGUCGCGGUGAAUACGUUCCCGGGUCUUGUACACACCGCCCGUCACA
rnacentral:rRNA from 1 species